UACGGAGGGGGCUAGCGUUGUUCGGAAUUACUGGGCGUAAAGCGCACGUAGGCGGCUUGGUAAGUUAGAGGUGAAAGCCUGGAGCUCAACUCCAGAAUUGCCUUUAAGACUGCCGAGCUAGCAGGUGAGAGAGGUGAGUGGAAUUCCGAGUAUAGAGGUGAAAUUCGUAGAUAUUCGGAAGAACACCAGUGGCGAAGGCGGCUCACUGGCUCAUACUGGACGCUGAGGUGCGAAAGCGUGGGGAGCAAACAGG
rnacentral:rRNA from 1 species